rnacentral:rRNA from 1 species
CCCUUAGAUGUCCUGGGCCGCACGCGCGUUACACUGAUGCAUUCAACGAGCUUAUAACCUUGGCCGAGAGGCCUGGGCAAUCUUGUUAACGUGCAUCGUGAUAGGGAUAGAUUAUUGAAAUUAUUAAUCUUGAACGAGGAAUUCCUAGUAAACGCAGAUCAUCAAUCUGCAUUGAUUACGUCCCUGCCCUUUGUACACACCGCCCGUCGCUCCUACCGAUUGAGUGUGUUGGUGAGGAGUUUGGAUUGGCCUCGGAAGGUGGUUCGCCACCGUCCGUAGCUGAGAAGUUCUCCAAACCGCCCCACUUAGAGGAAGGAGAAGUCGUAACA